AGAUAUUACCGAGGGCCUUCAGCCCCUUGGUAAAUACAUUUUACCGAGGGUAUUACCGAGGGUCAUGUGACCGUCGGUAAGUUGGUGCUCAUUAAACCCCACAGCUUGGUUUCCCUCACUUUUCGAGCCAAAAAUACGAAGCCAGUCUCGUCCCCUUUUAGAGAAGUCUCGUCCAAACCCAACCCGUUUCAGAAACCCUUCCCGUUUCAGAGAAGUCGUCUCCAACACCACCAAAGUCUCGCUCUGCCCAAAUUUCACAAAUUCCCGUUCUCAUUUGCCCAAAGCCCUAACCCUAAGGUGUUCCAAAGCCCUAACCCCAAGGUGUUCCAUCGGUUCGUGCUUCCAUUCUCUCGUCUACCUCUGUCUUUCCGGUGGCGGUUCGUUCUUCAUCUUCCUUGCGGCCAUUGCUACUUCGUCUUCCUCACGGGCCAUUGCCAUUGCCCCUACAUUUUCCUUGCGAGCCAUUUCCACCACCUCGCGGGCCACUGUUGCAGCCUCUCGUCGUUGCUGCCAACAUCUUCGUCGCCGUGCAAUCGCCUCCGCCUCCGCCUCACUCGUAGCGCCUCUGUUGUGGCUGUGGCAUCCACGGUUCUCCUCCUACCCGUGGUAAGUUGUCUUUGCUGUUGGGAGUGAAACAACUUCUCGAUAAAAGCUCCUAUGGUUCUAAUCCAGAUCCCCAUCCCCAAUUUUAGUGUUGUUAUCCCCUUUCUUAGAUCUACAUUGCUUCAGCUGUUAUCCCCUUUCUCUCCCUUUUUUUUUUUUUAUGUUUCUCAGAUCAUCUGGUGUUGUUCGUGGGCUGCCUGUUACGAUUCUACGAUUCUAAUCAAUACGAAAUCACCAUCCUGAUUUGAAAGGACCCGAAAAUAGGGAAUUGGUGGAUGAGUUUCGGCGAUUACACACUAGUGGGGAAUUGGCAGAUAGCGUGGAGUUUGUUGGCCAAAUUCAUACAAGAGGGUUGGGAUUGAUAAGCUGAAGGGGUGUGAUGAAGGGAAUUCUUUUUGGGACAGAAAAACGUGGAGAAGCAUAUGGAGAAGAAAGAUGUUGUAGUCCAUGGAAUUAUUUUUGGGACAGAAAGGUAAAGCUGCCACGUGUGUGAGAGAAUUAUUUGGAAAAGGACAUUUGUUAGAGGUGGACAAGUGGCAGAGGAGCUAGAAAAUAG